rnacentral:lncRNA from 1 species
AUCUAUGCCCUGAUAGGUCUUCAGUUACUCAUGGUGAAACAUGUAAGCCUUGAAAAACUUUUUGUAUGGAGUUGUGCUGGGAAGCAGUUUUCCCACCAGGGACAACAUCUUCUAGUCCUUUUACAUCUAAGUAGUACCAUGAGACUGGAUCAUGCCAAAGAAAUGUUUUGGAAGUGAGAUGUUUGACUUUGGAACCAAGGAACUGAAAAAACAGAUAGAGGGAGCCCAAGCCAAGAAGAGAGGUCUGGUAUCAAAGAUUUGCUGAAUUCACAAUUGCAGAGGCUUAUGUCAGUCCCUUAGAAAGAAUUUGAGGACUCCUUGGAAAAUUGCUGAGUUGAGUAAAUAUUUCCUUCCAUAAAGGUAAAUAAGCAUCUCAAGAGCAAGUUUCUACAUUUUGUAUUUCCCUGUUUUCUUUUCUGUAAAAUUGUGCGACCAAGAAUUAUGACCUACUGAUAUUAGAAUAAAAUUUGCAGAAGUUUGACUACAUGA